UUUGAUCCUGGCUCAGGAUAAACGCUGGCGGCGCACAUAAGACAUGCAAGUCGAACGAACUUAAUACCUUGCUUGCAAGGUAAGCGGUUAGUGGCGGACUGGUGAGUAACACGUAAGAAAUCUGCCUAUCAGAGGGGAAUAACAGUGAGAAAUCACUGCUAAUACCGCAUAUGCCAUAGUUAUCGCAUGAUAAUAGUGGGAACGAAGCAAUUCGCUGAUAGAUGAGCUUGCGGCUGAUUAGCUAGUUGGUGGGGUAACGGCCUCCCAAGGCGACGAUCAGUAGCCGGACUGAGAGGUUGAACGCCCACAUCGGGACUGAGAUACGGCCCAGACUCCUUCGGGAGGCAGCAGUCGCGAAUAUUGCGCAAUGGAGGCAACUC
rnacentral:rRNA from 1 species